GGUUAAGCGACUAAGCGUACACGGUGGAUGCCCUGGCAGUCAGAGGCGAUGAAGGACGUGCUAAUCUGCGAUAAGCGUCGGUAAGGUGAUAUGAACCGUUAUAACCGGCGAUUUCCGAAUGGGGAAACCCAGUGUGAUUCGUCACACUAUCAUUAACUGAAUCCAUAGGUUAAUGAGGCGAACCGGGGGAACUGAAACAUCUAAGUACCCCGAGGAAAAGAAAUCAACCGAGAUUCCCCCAGUAGCGGCGAGCGAACGGGGAGCAGCCCAGAGCCUGAAUCAGUGUGUGUGUUAGUGGAAGCGUCUGGAAAGGCGCGCGAUACAGGGUGACAGCCCCGUACACAAAAAUGCACAUACUGUGAGCUCGAUGAGUAGGGCGGGACACGUGGUAUCCUGUCUGAAUAUGGGGGGACCAUCCUCCAAGGCUAAAUACUCCUGACUGACCGAUAGUGAACCAGUACCGUGAGGGAAAGGCGAAAAGAACCCCGGCGAGGGGAGUGAAAAAGAACCUGAAACCGUGUACGUACAAGCAGUGGGAGCCUCUUAAUGGGGUGACUGCGUACCUUUUGUAUAAUGGGUCAGCGACUUAUAUUCUGUAGCAAGGUUAACCGAAUAGGGGAGCCGAAGGGAAACCGAGUCUUAACUGGGCGUUAAGUUGCAGGGUAUAGACCCGAAACCCGGUGAUCUAGCCAUGGGCAGGUUGAAGGUUGGGUAACACUAACUGGAGGACCGAACCGACUAAUGUUGAAAAAUUAGCGGAUGACUUGUGGCUGGGGGUGAAAGGCCAAUCAAACCGGGAGAUAGCUGGUUCUCCCCGAAAGCUAUUUAGGUAGCGCCUCGUGAAUUCAUCUCCGGGGGUAGAGCACUGUUUCGGCAAGGGGGUCAUCCCGACUUACCAACCCGAUGCAAACUGCGAAUACCGGAGAAUGUUAUCACGGGAGACACACGGCGGGUGCUAACGUCCGUCGUGAAGAGGGAAACAACCCAGACCGCCAGCUAAGGUCCCAAAGUCAUGGUUAAGUGGGAAACGAUGUGGGAAGGCCCAGACAGCCAGGAUGUUGGCUUAGAAGCAGCCAUCAUUUAAAGAAAGCGUAAUAGCUCACUGGUCGAGUCGGCCUGCGCGGAAGAUGUAACGGGGCUAAACCAUGCACCGAAGCUGCGGCAGCGACACUAUGUGUUGUUGGGUAGGGGAGCGUUCUGUAAGCCUGUGAAGGUGUACUGUGAGGUAUGCUGGAGGUAUCAGAAGUGCGAAUGCUGACAUAAGUAACGAUAAAGCGGGUGAAAAGCCCGCUCGCCGGAAGACCAAGGGUUCCUGUCCAACGUUAAUCGGGGCAGGGUGAGUCGACCCCUAAGGCGAGGCCGAAAGGCGUAGUCGAUGGGAAACAGGUUAAUAUUCCUGUACUUGGUGUUACUGCGAAGGGGGGACGGAGAAGGCUAUGUUGGCCGGGCGACGGUUGUCCCGGUUUAAGCGUGUAGGCUGGUUUUCCAGGCAAAUCCGGAAAAUCAAGGCUGAGGCGUGAUGACGAGGCACUACGGUGCUGAAGCAACAAAUGCCCUGCUUCCAGGAAAAGCCUCUAAGCAUCAGGUAACAUCAAAUCGUACCCCAAACCGACACAGGUGGUCAGGUAGAGAAUACCAAGGCGCUUGAGAGAACUCGGGUGAAGGAACUAGGCAAAAUGGUGCCGUAACUUCGGGAGAAGGCACGCUGAUAUGUAGGUGAAGCGACUUGCUCGUGGAGCUGAAAUCAGUCGAAGAUACCAGCUGGCUGCAACUGUUUAUUAAAAACACAGCACUGUGCAAACACGAAAGUGGACGUAUACGGUGUGACGCCUGCCCGGUGCCGGAAGGUUAAUUGAUGGGGUUAGCGGUAACGCGAAGCUCUUGAUCGAAGCCCCGGUAAACGGCGGCCGUAACUAUAACGGUCCUAAGGUAGCGAAAUUCCUUGUCGGGUAAGUUCCGACCUGCACGAAUGGCGUAAUGAUGGCCAGGCUGUCUCCACCCGAGACUCAGUGAAAUUGAACUCGCUGUGAAGAUGCAGUGUACCCGCGGCAAGACGGAAAGACCCCGUGAACCUUUACUAUAGCUUGACACUGAACAUUGAGCCUUGAUGUGUAGGAUAGGUGGGAGGCUUUGAAGUGUGGACGCCAGUCUGCAUGGAGCCGGCCUUGAAAUACCACCCUUUAAUGUUUGAUGUUCUAACGUUGGCCCCUGAUCGGGGUUGCGGACAGUGUCUGGUGGGUAGUUUGACUGGGGCGGUCUCCUCCUAAAGAGUAACGGAGGAGCACGAAGGUUGGCUAAUCCUGGUCGGACAUCAGGAGGUUAGUGCAAUGGCAUAAGCCAGCUUGACUGCGAGCGUGACGGCGCGAGCAGGUGCGAAAGCAGGUCAUAGUGAUCCGGUGGUUCUGAAUGGAAGGGCCAUCGCUCAACGGAUAAAAGGUACUCCGGGGAUAACAGGCUGAUACCGCCCAAGAGUUCAUAUCGACGGCGGUGUUUGGCACCUCGAUGUCGGCUCAUCACAUCCUGGGGCUGAAGUAGGUCCCAAGGGUAUGGCUGUUCGCCAUUUAAAGUGGUACGCGAGCUGGGUUUAGAACGUCGUGAGACAGUUCGGUCCCUAUCUGCCGUGGGCGCUGGAGAACUGAGGGGGGCUGCUCCUAGUACGAGAGGACCGGAGUGGACGCAUCACUGGUGUUCGGGUUGUCAUGCCAAUGGCACUGCCCGGUAGCUAAAUGCGGAAGAGAUAAGUGCUGAAAGCAUCUAAGCACGAAACUUGCCCCGAGAUGAGUUCUCCCUGACUCCUUGAGGGUCCUGAAGGAACGUUGAAGACGACGACGUUGAUAGGCCGGGUGUGUAAGCGCAGCGAUGCGUUGAGCUAACCGGUACUAAUGAACCGUGAGGCUUAACCUU
rnacentral:rRNA from 1 species